UCUCUGAUGUUAGCGGCGGACGGGUGAGUAACACGUGGGUAACCUACCUAUAAGACUGGGAUAACUCCGGGAAACCGGGGCUAAUACCGGAUAAUAUUUUGAACCGCAUGGUUCAAUAGUGAAAGACGGUUUCGGCUGUCACUUAUAGAUGGACCCGCGCCGUAUUAGCUAGUUGGUAAGGUAACGGCUUACCAAGGCGACGAUACGUAGCCGACCUGAGAGGGUGAUCGGCCACACUGGAACUGAGACACGGUCCAGACUCCUACGGGAGGCAGCAGUAGGGAAUCUUCCGCAAUGGGCGAAAGCCUGACGGAGCAACGCCGCGUGAGUGAUGAAGGUCUUCGGAUCGUAAAACUCUGUUGUUAGGGAAGAACAAAUUUGUUAGUAACUGAACAAGUCUUGACGGUACCUAACCAGAAAGCCACGGCUAACUACGUGCCAGCAGCCGCGGUAAUACGUAGGUGGCAAGCGUUAUCCGGAAUUAUUGGGCGUAAAGCGCGCGUAGGCGGUUUCUUAAGUCUGAUGUGAAAGCCCACGGCUCAACCGUGGAGGGUCAUUGGAAACUGGGAAACUUGAGUGCAGAAGAGGAGAGUGGAAUUCCAUGUGUAGCGGUGAAAUGCGCAGAGAUAUGGAGGAACACCAGUGGCGAAGGCGGCUCUCUGGUCUGUAACUGACGCUGAUGUGCGAAAGCGUGGGGAUCAACAGGAUUUAGAUACCCUGGUAGUCCACGCCGUAUACGAUGAGUGCUAAGUGUUUAGGGGUUUCCGC
rnacentral:rRNA from 1 species